GUGAAUCAUCAAAUCUUUGAACGCAAAUUGCGCUCUCUUCGGAGAGUAUGCCUGUUUAAGGGUCAGCCUAAAAAAAAUCAACACAGUUGCUGUUUCGCGGUGACAUUCGUCGGAAAUUGGGUCAUCUUAAACCUUUGGUUUUUAAGCGGCUAAAAAUUUUCUUUACGAUUCCACGAACGUUUCUAAUAUUUACUUCUUAUACGUUUAAGUUAUCAAUCUUUAUUAUACUGGGAC
rnacentral:misc_RNA from 1 species